AACCUUAUGGACCUGCGGGCGUAUACCUGCGGAAGGAUCAUUAUUGAAUAAACUUGGUUGGGUUGCUGCUGGCUCUUAGGAGCAUGUGCACACCUACUCCAAUUUUUAACCCCUGUGCACCCUCUGUAGAUCUGAAUAACUAUCGAGAGGAAACCUCGGUCUGAGAACUGCUGUGUCCCAACGACCAGCUUUUCUUGUGUUUUCAGAUCUAUGUUUCUAUAUACCCCAGACAAAAAGUUA
rnacentral:misc_RNA from 1 species